GACGAACGCUGGCGGCGUGCUUAACACAUGCAAGUCGAACGGAAAGGCCCUGCUUUUGUGGGUUGCUCGUGUGGCGAGCGGGUGAGUAACACGUGAGUAACCUGCCCUUGACAUUGGGAUAACAUCAGGGAACUGGGGCUAAUACCGGAUAGGAGCUCCUGCUGCAUGGUGGGGGAUGGAAAGUUUCGGCGGUUGGGGAUGGACUGGCAGCUUAUCAGCUGGUUUGUGGGGUAGUGGCGUACCAAGGCUUUGACGGGUAGCCGGCCUGGGAGGGUGACCGGCCACAUUGCGCCUGAGAUACGGCCCAGUCUCCUACCGGAGGCAGCAGUGGGGAGUAUUGCACAAUGGGCGGAAGCCUGAUGCAGCGACGCCGCGUGCGGGAUGACGUCUUUCGGGUUGUAAACCGCUUUCGCCUGUGACGAAGCGUGAGUGACGGUAAUGGGUAAAGAAGCACCGGCUAACUACGUG
rnacentral:rRNA from 1 species